GCCGCCCGUGACUCUGCGAGAAGUCCAUUGAACCUUAUCAUUUAGAGGAAGGAGAAGUCGUAACAAGGUUUCCGUAGGUGAACCUGCGGAAGGAUCAUUG
rnacentral:rRNA from 22 species